GCCGUAGCCUACUGGUUAGCGCUUCGGACUUGUAACCGGAGGGUUGCCGGUUCGAUCCCCGACCAGUAGGCA
rnacentral:tRNA from 1 species